rnacentral:rRNA from 1 species
UACGUAGGGUGCGAGCGUUGCCCGGAUUUAUUGGGCGUAAAGGGCGCGUAGGCGGUGAGACACGUUCGUUGUGAAAUCGCCCGGCUCAACUGGGCGGGGUCAGCGGAUACGGUCUCACUUGAGCAAGCUAGGGGGCAAUGGAAUUCCCGGUGUAGUGGUGGAAUGCGUAGAUAUCGGGAGGAACACCUGCGGCGAAGGCGGGUUGCUGGGCUGAUACUGACGCUGAGGCGCGAAAGCCAGGGGAGCGAACGGG